CCUACGGGAGGCAGCAGUGGGGAAUUUUGCGCAAUGCUCGUAAGAGUGACGCAGCGACGCCGCGUGAAUGACGAAGGCCUUCGGGUCGUAAAGUUCUUUCGACAGGGAAGACAAUGCCUAUAAGUAACUGUGUAUGUAUUGACGGUCCCUGUAUAAGCAGCACCGGCUAACUCCGUGCCAGCAGCCGAGGUAAUACGGAGGGGGCGAGCGUUGUUCGGAGGGACUGGGCGUAAAGAGCCCGUAGGCGGUGUUGUAAGUCAUUAGUCAAAGACUAGAGCUCAACUUUAGUAAGGCUAGUGAUACUAUAAUACUAGAGUAUCAGAGAGGAUUGCAGAAUUCCUGGUGUAGCGGUGAAAUGCGUAGAUAUCAGGAGGAAUACCGUUAGCGAAGGCGGCAAUCUGGCUGGAAACUGACGCUGAGGUGCGAAAGCGUGGGUAGCAAACAGGAUUAGAUACCCUUGUAGUC
rnacentral:rRNA from 1 species